rnacentral:rRNA from 1 species
CCUACGGGGUGCAGCAGUGGGGAAUAUUGCGCAAUGGGCGAAAGCCUGACGCAGCGACGCCGCGUGAGGGAUGAAGGUCCUCGGAUCGUAAACCUCUGUCAGCAGGGAAGAACGGUCACUGUGCUAAUCAGCAGUGAAUUGACGGUACCUGCAAAGGAAGCACCGGCUAACUCCGUGCCAGCAGCCGCGGUAAUACGGAGGGUGCGAGCGUUAAUCGGAAUUACUGGGCGUAAAGCGCUCGUAGGCGGUAUGUCAAGUCAAGGGUGAAAUCCCCGCGCUCAACGUGGGAACUGCCUUUGAAACUGGCAGACUGGAGUGUGUGAGAGGAUAGUGGAAUUCCAGGUGUAGGAGGGAAAUCCGUAGAUAUCUGGAGGAACAUCAGUGGCGAAGGCGACUAUCUGGCACAUAACUGACGCUGAGGAGCGAAAGCGUGGGUAGCAAACAGGAUUAGAUACCCGUGUAGUC